rnacentral:lncRNA from 1 species
UCUCCCUCUGUUUUCCAGGCUGCAGCUCCAGGCAAAGAAAUUGGAUUGAUUGAUUGAUUUAUGAGUGUCAAAUGAAGGACACAUAGGCAGACGAGGGGAGAGGGAGCAGGACAGGGAGAGAGAGAGAGAGAGAGAGAGAGAGAGAGAGAAAGGGGAUGGAUGGAUGAAGGCAGGCAGGGAGAGAAGGGGGAAAAAGAAGGAGAAUGGAGGAAUGGAGACAGAGACAAAUGAAAGGAGGGAGACAGAAGGGCGGGAAAAAGUCAGACGCAUGACUGGUGACCUCCGCCUCACUCGGGAACUGAUGCAGUACAUUCAGAACAGCAUUAUCAAAGUUCGGAUGGAAAAGGCCGUUUGCAAUGCUUGGCUGCACAGCAGAGACAUAUUGAUGGGAUAACAGUUCAGUAUGGCUUCCCAUACAGGACAGACCACCUAUAGGACAUGUCAGGACAGCCGGAGACCCAUUCAUCAAACUGCAGCAACACAUCCACCUCAGUGCACACAGGCAGUACACUGUGUUUGGGUGGUACACAACACUUAUAGGGCAUUUUCACACAGUCUGGAUCAAGGUUCACGUGUUAAUUAGUCCAGUUUAUUGUCACACUGCAGAUUAUUUAGCGAUUAAAAAAAAUCUGAUUUUUUU